GCAUACCCCCUGAGUAGAGCGGCGCACGGGUGAGUAACGCGUGGGUAACCUACCCCCACGCGGGGGAUAACCACUCGAAAGGGUGGCUAAUACCGCAGGAUACCACGGGAUCUUCGGAUCUUGAGGCUAAAGAUCGCACCGGCUUGCCCGUGCUGUCACCAGGGGAUGGGCCCGCGUCCGAUUAUCUAGUUGGUGAGGUAAUGGCUCACCAAGGCUCCGAUCGGUAGCUGGUCUGAUAGGACCAUCAGCCUCACUGGAGCUGAUGCACGGUCCACACUCCUACCGGAGGCACCAGUGAGGAAUAUUGCGCAUUGGGGGAAACCCUGACGCACCAACGCCGCGUGGGUGAAGAACGCCGUCUGGUCGUAGAGCCCUUUCCGACGAGACGAAUGCUCCGCGGUGACAAGACGGGGAGUUUGACGGUAGCAGUAGGAAGAAGCACGGGGUAACUCCGUGCCAGCAUCCGCCGUAAUACGGAGGGUGCUAGCGUUGUUAGGAAUUAGUGUGCGUAAAGCGUGUGUAGGCGGCCUUGCAAGUCAGGCGUGAAAGUCCUCGGUUUAACCGGGGAAGUGCGUAUGAAAUUACCUCGGCUUGAGUACGGGAGAGGGAGGCGGAAUUCCCAGUGUAGAGGUGAAAUUGGUAGAUAUUGGGAGGUACUCCGGUGGUGAAUGCGGCCUCCUUGACCGAUAAUGACGGUGAGACGCGAAAGCGUGGUGAGCAAACAGGGUUAGAUACCCUGGUAGUCCACGCGGUAAACGAUGGGCAUUAGGUGUGGGGGGUAUCCACUCCUCCCGUGCCGAAGAUAACGCAU
rnacentral:rRNA from 1 species